rfam:Ictidomys tridecemlineatus contig036542, whole genome shotgun sequence.
GGGGUUGUGGCUUAGUGGUAGUGCACUUGUCCAGUAUGCAAGUGGCCCCUGGGUUUAAUUCCCAGCACCA